AACGAACGCUGGCGGCAGGCCUAACACAUGCAAGUCGAGCGCCCAGCAAUGGGAGCGGCGGACGGGUGAGUAACACGUGGGAAUAUGCCUUUCGGUUCGGGAACAACUCGGGGAAACCCGUGCUAAUUCCGGAUACGCCCUUACGGGAAGAUUAUCGCCGAAGAUUAGCCCGCGUCCGAUUAGCUAGUUGGUGAGGUAAUGGCUCACCAAGGCACCGAUCGGUAGCUGGUUUGAGAGAACGA
rnacentral:rRNA from 1 species